GCUUGAAGGAUCUGACAGGCUACGCCUGCUCCUAGUUUCUUGUGUACGACAAAGACGGAAACGAACGCUGCCCAUCGUCACCCGGUGUUUUUCAAGUAAUCAUCAGAAGUGGACGGCAAAUGCAAGGUCUGGCAUUCUUUCAACCUCCAGGACUGACUGAACUACCGACCUGGCUCCUGGAGAAGACUAUUGAACGGUCCCCCAAUACGAUAAGAUGGACACUAGACCUCAUGAGCUACCUCAUCAUGGCCUUGCACCUUACUGUCUGCCUGCGCUGUACUUUCUCUGUAACUGUAACACUUUAUUCUGCAUUCUGCUAUUGUUUUCCCUUGUGCUACCUCAAUGCUCUGUUGUAAUGAAAUGAUCUGUAUGGAUGGCAUGCAAAACAAAGUUUUUCACUGUACCUCGGUACAUGUGACAAUAAUAAACCAAUUUACCAAUCUA